GGGUGAUUAGCUCAGCUGGGAGAGCACCUCCCUUACAAGGAGGGCGUCGGCGGUUCGAUCCCGUCAUCACCCACCA
rnacentral:tRNA from 1 species